rnacentral:rRNA from 1 species
GGUUAAGGAAGAUCCUUCCCCGCGUGCGGGAGCCUUUGCAGCUGGAGACAGUAAGCCCGGCGACUCUAAACAAUCCGGUGCCUCGUGCAAGUCGGCCUUCCGGCCGGCGACACUUUCGAAUUGCGGGGAACCCCUAAGAGCCCUCCACACCAAGCCAGCCCGGGAAACCGGCUGGUGGCCCAUCGGAAACCAUGGGGUACGGUAACAGUGGGAGGGAUGAUCCCGGCGGAGACGCCGGGUGAAAUGGGCAAUCCGCAGCGAAGCCCCUCGUGCCGCCCGCCAGGGCGGCGUGGGGAACGUUCACAGACUAAGCGGAAGUGGGUGGGGCGUCCAAGGCCCUGCUUAAGAUAUAGUCGGGCUCCCUCAGAAAUGUCGGAGAGCAAAACACCAAACCGUUCCGUAGGUGAACCUGCGGAAGGAUCAUUACCGAGACGAGAUCGGGGGGGGAAACCCCCCGCAGAUCGUAUCACCACCCUCCUUCACAACGCACCUCACGUCCUUCCUCGGCGGGGCAACCCGCCGGCGGAACGUUCGCAAACCCUUUUCUCAUGCAUCCGAGCAGUACCCGUUCCGAUGAAAGAAACAAAUCGUUUACAAUCUUCAACAAUGGAUCUCUUGGCUCUGGCAUCGAUGAAGAACGCAGCGAAAUGCGAUAAGUAGUGUGAAUUGCAGAAUCCAGUGAAUCAUCGAAUCUUUGAACGCACAUUGCGCCCCUCGGUAUUCCGUGGGGCAUGCCUGUUCGAGCGUCAUUUCAAGGCUCAAGCUUCUCUGCUUGGUGUUGGGGCGUCUGUCCCCCGUCCCCCGACGGCGGGACUCGCCCCAAAGACAUUGGCAGCCCAGGCCGUCCGACCCGCCCGCAGCACAUUGCGUCCGGCGGGGUCGACGUUGCGGCCCGCGGCGUCCAGCAAAGGAAAGACAUCUCAGUUUUGACCUCGGAUCAGGUAGGGAUACCCGCUGAACUUAAGCAU